rnacentral:rRNA from 1 species
UGGGGAAUAUUGGGCAAUGGGCGCAAGCCUGAUCCAGCCAUGCCGCGUGAGUGAUGAAGGCCCUAGGGUUGUAAAGCUCUUUCACCGGUGAAGAUAAUGACGGUAACCGGAGAAGAAGCCCCGGCUAACUCCGCGCCAGCAGCCGCGGUAAUACGAAGGGGGCUAGCGUCUUUCGGAUUUACUGGGCGUAAAGCGCACGUAGGCGGACUAUUAAGUCAGGAGUGAAAUCCCGGGGCUCAACCCCGGAACUGCCUUUGAUACUGGUAGUCUUGAGUUCGAGAGAGGUGUGUGGAAUUCCGAGUGUAAAGAUGAAAUUCGUAGAUAUUCGGAAGAACACCAGUGGCGAAGGCGGCCCACUGGCUAGGUACUGACUCUGAGGUGCGAAAGAGUGGGGAGCAAAGAGG